ensembl:lncRNA
GAAUGGUAGCGUGUAUAUUUAUGUAAUUUGCUAAUGUCUUACUAUAAAAUACAUAUAUAAUGCAUAUUAUAUUCAUAAUAUAUGCAUUCAUUGUGUACUAUAGGGCAUAGAUCAAGGCUUAUGGUUAAUGAUAUAGACAUUUUUUUAAACCCUCUUUUUAGAAUAUGUGUGCUAGCUAGCAUUAAACGUAAUUAAUCUCAAUAACAUGUUAGGUUUGACAACCAUGAAGUAAAUGCAUGCUGAUUUUAUAUGUACAAUGUUUCUAAAUGUGUUUUUUGUGGCUCUGUAUGUUCAGAAAGAGGAAGAGGAGGCUCGCCAGAGAGAAGAGGCAGAGCGUUUGCGUCUGGAGAGAGAGAAACACUUCCAGAAAGAGGAGGCUGAGAGAAUGGAGAGGAAGAAGGUAAGCUAAUUUCAUUUUGAGUGCUUUUUAAGGUAAUGGCAGGGUUGAAAUAUUAUCUGAAUCUUGUCUGUCACAGCGCCUUGAGGAAAUUAUGAAACGCACACGCCGAUCUGAUCAGAAAACCACCCCACAGAGAAAUGGCGAUGUCAGCCAGCAGAGCGGACAGAAUUCAGUGAGUUCAAUAUCCAGCAGCCCUUCAGUGACAGUGUCAGCCCCUCAGGCUCCGGAGACCUCUGAGACAGUAUGCAGUGACAGUAAUGGACACACAGGGCCCAGCUGCGUUACACCCAUACUGCCCACAUCAGGUCACAGUGUGGUUGUCCAGCUCAGAGAAAAUGGCACUGUCACAGAGGCUUUCGAGGAGGUCAUAGAGGUUCCCGUGGGGACCAAACUGUCCCGUCAAGAUGGAGAUGGAGAGGAGGUGGAAAAUGAAGAAGAGGAGAAGAGAAAGGUUCCCUUAUUGGCUUUCAGAGAGAAUGGCAGCAUGCAUAAUGUGAGUGGACUGGAGGAAAACCCGGCACAGUAAAGUUCAGAGCAUAAAGCACUGGGUUUAAGCCGCAAUGGGAAAAAGCCAACAGCCGGCAAGUGUAAAAUGCAUAAUCAAGAUGAAUGGAUACAUUACACUCUAGAAAUGAAGACAAACCAUAGUCCUGCAGAAUUCUCAAGAACAUAACUAUGUUGUAUGGAGCCCAUCCAAUGAAGAAUACCAGCCCAAUGCAGAAUAUCAGUUUGAUAGUCUUGUGUCGCCCCUUUGUUUGGGAUCGUGUGAUUGUCUGGAACAUUCUAACGUGACAAAAUCCCAUGAUGCAAAAUGCAAUCAAGAAGAAAACAUUCUGUAAAUAAACAGCGGCAUGUCUCACUUGAAUACUGUCA